GUUCUCAUCUUGUUUAAACUGAUGUGAUCGUGCUAUCUUGUUUUGCGAUUUUGUGAGUUAGGGUUUCAAGUUUCCUGAAUCGUUCGUUGAAUCUACACGGAAGCGCUUGACUCAGCGUGAAACCGUCGUUGAGUGUGUGUUUAUGUGGAGAAGGCAUAACAACUGAAGACAAGUUUGAAUCUGUGAGCCGAACAGCUGAAGCAACAAAACAGAUAAGCUCUUUUUUACUUCCUUUUUUUUUUGUUUGUUUUUUUCCCAAUCCAAGAGAUGGUUUUUAUCAAAACAGAGAAGCUUUGUUUUGGUUUUUCAUCAAACCCCAAAAAAGGAUUAUAAGCAGACACUAAUCUAAUAGUGUGCUGACAGAUUCUCAUUUGGGGACAUUGUCCGGUUGCCUGAAGCCUUAGUAGACCCAUAGAAAAUUUUCAAUCAUGGUAGUGCAUGUCUAAAAGAGGGGGACAUUGUCCGGUUGGUGGUAGUGCAUGUCUAAAAGAUGGGAACAUUGUCCGGUUGAUGGUAGUGCAAAAAUGGAAAGUAUGACAUACUUUAGUUACCCACGGCUUACAUAAACAACAAGAAACGGCUUAAGAAAAGUCUUUAGACAGAGACUGAGAUGGUACCCACGGCUUAUUACUGUUGGAUGCAAAUGUCCAGUGGCUUUCAAAAUAGUCUUUAGACAAAAAAGACUAUGAAACGUUGGAUGGAUCAAAUGACCCACAGGUCCACAACUUACCAAAAAAAAAAAGUCUUUGGACACACAAAGAGUAAGAAUGUUCGAUGGAUUAAACGACAAACAAAACAUCAUAAAGACUAUGAAUGUUUGGAUGGAUAAAACGACAAAAACAAAGAAUAUGAGUUACCCACGGCUUAUAAAGGCUUUAAACAAAGACCUUGACUUCUAUGAAGAGUCUUUAGACAAUAUCUACCCACGGCUUGUGAAAAAGUUUUUAGACAGGCACUUUGACGAAGACAUACUCUUCUCAAUAACAAAAAGCUUAAGAAAAGUCUUUAGACAGAGACUGAGAUGGUACCCACGGCUUAUUACUGUUAGAUGGAAAUGUACAGUGGCUUUCAAAAUAGUCUUUAGACAAAAAGACUAUGAAACAUUGGAUGGAUCAAACGACCCAUAAGUCAACAACUUACCAAGAAAAAAAAGUCUUUAGACACACAAAGAGUAAGAAUGUUUGGAUGGAUAAAACGACAAAAACAAAGAGUAUGAGUUACCCACGGCUUAUAAAGGCUUAUGAAAGUUUUUUUGACAUUGCUUGUUACACACGGCUUAUGAAAAAGUCUUUAGAACAAUUGAGUUAAGACAGCUUUAUGAAACCUCUUUAGACAAUACUACUGCCCACGGCAUUACAAAGGCUUUUGUAGACAAAGACUCUACUCAACUUGGACGAUACUACUAUUACCCACGGCUUAUAAAGGCUUUAAACAAAGACCUUGACUUCUAUGAAGAGUCCAUAACUUACCAAAAAAAAAAAUUCUUUAGACACACAAAGAGUAUGAGUUACCCACGGCUUAUAAAGGCUUUAAACAAAGACCUUGCCUUCUAUGAAGAGUCUUUAGAUAAUAUCUACCCACGGCUUAUGAAAAGUUUUUAGACAGAGACUUUGACUUGUUUGUUACACACGGCUUAUGAAAAAGUCUAUAGAACAAUUGAGUUAAAACAGCUUUUAUGAAGAGUAUUUAGAACAAUACUACUGCCCACGGCAUUACAAAGGCUUUUUUGGACAAAGACUCAACUCAACUUGGACAGUACUACUAUUACCCCCGGCUUAUAAAAGGUCUUAAAGAUAGAAACUAUAAACCCUUUAGACUUCUAAGUUUAUUGGAUGUGAAACGACUAACAGUGGAUGAAAAAAGUGACCACCAGUUUAAAGAGGUCUUAAGGAAAACCUAUUUUACUUGUUGGAUGGGAAACAAACUACCUGCAGCUUAGAAAAGUCUUAAAACAGAGACUAUGAACCAAAAACCAUAUCUACACAAGGCUUCAGAGAAAGACCAACGGCUUAAAAGACGAAUAAUAUGAAACAAAACAGACUCUUUAUGACAUAGACUACAUGUCAGUGUUUAGCUUGUUGGAUGGGAAAAAACGACCAACGGCUUAAACUAAGUAUAACUAAGACUUGAACUAUGAACCGAAAUUGAGUUGGAAAAAUGACUAACAGCUUGAACCAAGUCUUAUGACAGAGAGUAUGAACUGGAAAUUAAUUCCUUACCCGAGGCUUAAAAAAAAAUUCUCAAGACUAUGAAUGGAAUAUAAAAAGUCUUUAUGAGAAUCAAAAACAGAUACCCAGAGAUUUGAAACGUCUGUAGACAAAGAGAGAUUCUUUGGGGACAUUCAUGUCACAACUAUUGGUUGGUAGUGCAUGCCUAAGCGAAGUAUGGAAAGUAUGGCAUACUUUAGUCAGCCACGGCUUAUAAAACUAACAAAAGGCUUAAGAAAAGAACUAACAAAAGGCUUAAGAAAAGUCUUUAGACAGACUUUGAUUGUACCCACGGCUUGCAAUAAAGAUUGUAGACAAAGACUAUAGAUCGGUGUUUAGCUUGUCUGAUGGAAAAGCUACCAAGUCUUAAAACAGAGUGUAUGAACCACCCAUUGAGUUGGUUCUUUUGACUUGUUGGUUGGGAAAACUCACCAAUGACUUAAGACAGAGACGAUGAAACCAACUCUUACGGCUUAUAAAAAUUUCUCAGAUACAUAAACCUAAGAAUAUGAACGGAAUAGAAAGACUUUUUAUGAUAAUUGAAAACAGAUAUCACAACGUGAAGUAAAGACUAAUGAAUUCUGUUUUUUUCUUUCUCAGGUAUGCAAUGCUUCAGAAAGUGCUCAUUUGAAGUGUAGCAGGUUUAUUUGUAAUUAUGCUUUCUGAAGUUCUCAGGUUUGGGCUUGCUUGUUCAUUAUCGCGAUGACGCCAAUGCUCUGUUCAGGUAUAAGCUUUUCUUGACUUUUUCUCUUGUGAAAAUUUAUAAAGUAUUAAAGUGAUGUACACGUAACUAAAGAAACUGGAGAAAAGUAACUGAAAAUGUUUUUCUUAAAAAAAAACAUUUUAAGAAAUGAAUGUAUGUUGGAGUCUCUUGGAAAUCAAAGUAAGUGAGAGACUCCUGCAUAUUGUGGUGGUAGUUUAAAAAAAGAAAAUUAUAAUAUUUCUCUUUUGUGUUAUACUCCUAAAAUCCAGUGAUCAUUCUAAACAAUGUUAGUAAUCUCUUUAUAGUUUGGCAAUUUUAUGUAUAAUAAGUUCUCUUAUUUUAUGAAACUGAUGCAUUUUUGAGUUACUUAUAGAUCAACAUAUGUGAAAACUGCAGAUUGUAGUAUUAUUUUCUUUGAAUAUUGAAUGUUUGUGUUUUGUGUACCAUACCCCUCUGUGAUCACUGUAAACAUGUGAAAUGACAUCUUCACAUUUCUGCAAUUAACGCUGCUGAUUGCUAUCUUAGAUUCGAAUUGUAUAUGUUUGUAUUUCGAUUAGCUUUGGUUUCGUGCUUGUGAAAUGGUUGUGCCUUGGAGUCUAUUGUAGAUCAAUGUAGGUGAGAGACUCUUGCAGAUUGUGGUGGUAGUUUCUUUGAAUCCUUGAAUGUUUCUGUUUUGUGUUAUACUCCUGCUAACGUUCAGUGAUUUCUUCAGUUUGGUGCUUGAAUGUAUUAUAAGGUCUCUCAUUUUAUGAAAUAGAUGCAUCUUGGAGUCUCUUCUUUUGUAAAUCAACAUGUGUGAAAGACUGCAGAUUUUGGUAGUAGUUUCACUGAAUCUUGAUUGUUUCUGUUUACUUUUAGGCUCAUAACCCUCGGUGAUCAUUAUAAACAUGUGAAAUGACAUCUUCAGAAUUUUGCAUUCUACCUUGAUGAUUACUAUAACUAUGUUAAAUACUAUAAAUUGUAUAUGUUGAGUUGAAAUUUCCCUGCUUUGAUUCUUGUGUUUAUUUCUUGGUUUUUGAGUCUUGACAACAUUUCUCUCAUUUAUGUAAUUACCUUGAAUCUUGAAUGUUUAUGUUUUGUGUUAUGCUCCUAACGCUUGGUGAG